GUAUACAGUUUGUUUCUUUUACUGGAUGUUGCAGAACGCUAAAUCUGCAGGACUAGAUGGAAAAACAAAGUUGGGCAGAGCUUCUCCAUCUAGUCUGAUAAAACUUCCUAUUCAAGAGAAAGUGACUAAGGGUCAACAGCAAUUACUUCAAAACUUAUUUUACUAUGUCAAUACCUGAAAACAUAUAUUUUAAAAGAUGAACAUACAAAGUCCAAAUAAAGUCAUUUUUUAAAACUUUAUUAUUGUUUACCAAUGGGGAGAUGCAGUUUAUUUACACCAGCAGCCAUAGGGGCAAGGGGAAUACACAGUUAAGUCAGCAAUCUGUAUAGGAUGGACUACUUAUGCAAAAAUAAGAAUCUCCAAAACAAAGGACAGUGGUGGGCUUCACUACACUUCCCCAAUGAUCCCAGCAUGCGACAAUGCCAGGCAAUGGCCCCAGGCAUGCGGUGGUGGAAAGUAACGUAUGGAAGAAAAAGCCACAAACCACAGAAAUUUGUAAAGAACCCCUUUCCCCCCAUACACACACACACUCAGAUACAUAAUAGAAUUACACGGUGAUCAAUACACUAAUUGAACAGGGAGGGAGAGAAAUUCUGCUGUUAGAGGGAAGAUAGGUAGGCAAAGGGAGAGUUCCUAACCACUGUCAACUACAUGGUAGGGAGUAUUCUCUCCCCAAAAAGACUUUGUCCCCUCAGGGCACCUGUUGGACCUAGCACACCUUACACCCAUCCAGGGCAGGAGGCUACUGCCCUAAUAGUGGGGGGCAAAAAAAUAAAAACUAAAACCAAGAGGGAGGUAACGUGAACCAACCAUUACUCAAAACUACUCCCCACUUCUUCCUCCUCUAACAGGAGAAAAGGCCAGAAAGGAAACAGUAAUGUCACAGUCUGCACUCCCUCUCUGAAGGAAGAGUGGACCAUGGUCCUAUCUUCAGCCUGUUUCUCAGACAUUAUUUAAAAUUAGGCCAGUCUCACUUAAAACCUCCUUACUCUCUGUAUCCCCUUAGAAUGAGAUGUUUACAAAAAGGGCAGAUAACCCCAAAAAAGCAAGAUAUUUUAGCUCUUGCUUUUUUUUUAAAGUUAUCACAAUUCUUGGAUUGAAGACCAAUCUGUAACUAGGUCCUGACCCUAAGCACGACAACUCUGGGGGAGAAUGCAGUAACAGAUAGUCUUGAGGCCUUAUUACUAUGGUUCCCUUAAUCCUCUAAAGUAUGUAACCCAAAUCAGUCCACAUGGUCCAAACGGUUCCUUCUGGGAUAAGGAAGGAUACAUGCACAGCAAGGGUUAAAGAAAACGCAUCAGGACCAACUCCAUCCCUGUGUGUGUCAGCCAGCCUUGACUGCUCUUCUGCCUAAGUCCUAAGAGGCGGUAUCCAAGUGGAGAAAUGCUUAGGUGUGACACUGCCUUUCAUAUACAAAAACUUAGGUUCCUUUCUCAUCCUAAGCCUAACACAGAAAGCCAUAAGAAAGAUUCUUCUGAGUCUCCCACACAAACAAGAAGAAAAAAACAUAAGAAACUUAAAAGAAGCCAAGGAAAGGGAAACUGGGCAGGCUUCAGAAGCAGGAGCAUCAAGAGAUGAAAUGAAACUGGUCAAUGUGAAAGCAGGGUGGCAGGCAGCACCUGGGGUCAUGAGCUGCACCAAAUAGGCAGUGGAGCAGGGACGUGUGGCCAAGCCAGAGAGAUGAGGCUGGGUCCCUUACUAGGGCACAGAAUGAGGUAAGAAAACAUUUCAAAUAGAGCAGCACCGUUCCCGCUCACCUUGGGGCUCCCAUCCCUCUACACUUCAUAAACCCUCCAUCAGGGAGUAAAGUGGAGGGUAAUUCUGAUAUGCGGCUCACACUUCCCAUCCUCCCCAUCCCAUUCCCUGAAACCAGGGCAUUUCUGGAGGCCCUUUCCUGACUUCCAACAACAAAAGGACAGCUCUUGUAAAGAAGGUCCAAAGGGGACCCAGUGGAGAGGGCUGCCCCUUGUGAGAGGCAGAGAGUGACGUGUCUAGAUGUUCACCACAGCAGAGCUUUGUGACUGCCCAACCCAAGGAACAGGGGCAUUCAACAGGAUACUGCACAGUCAGAUGAGAUGACCCAGUCCUGCUCCUUGGCUCCUAGCACUAACCCAUUCACAUUACUGAGGGCAGCUGGAAGAGGUCCUCUCCGGGCUUAGCUUUCAAACCACAACCUCCUGCACAGCCAUGAUGCUCUUCUACAGUUCAGUCUUGCCCCUGGGGUGGAAGGCAGUUAGUGACCUGGCAUAAGGACCAAGUCAGGCUCACAAACUGGCUAGAUAACUAGUAACAGAGUAGGAAAAUGACUGCCCCACCAAACGCUUGUCCACAGCAUAAUGGAUCCAGAUAUGAAUCUUGCAGUUUGAGAGAUCGUGCAUAGUUGCAGAGGCCCCCACUACUUCCCCAAGAGAUCAUAACUAAAUUCUCAGCCUGCCUGGAUAACCAAGGGGUCCAUUUGCCAAGCCUAUGCCACAAGGUGGGGUGCCAGAAAG
rnacentral:lncRNA from 1 species